AAAAGUUUAGGAUACCCAGUCCAAGAGCCUUCAAAGCCCUAAGCAAACCUAC
rnacentral:tRNA from 1 species